rnacentral:rRNA from 1 species
UACGGAGGAUGCAAGCGUUAUCCGGAAUGAUUGGGCGUAAAGCGUCCGCAGGUGGCAAUGUAAGUCUGCUGUCAAAGCGUCUGGCUCAACCAGAUAAAGGCAGUGGAAACUACAUAGCUAGAGUAAGGUAGGGGUAGAGGGAAUUCCUGGUGUAGCGGUGAAAUGCGUAGAGAUCAGGAAGAACACCGGUGGCGAAAGCGCUCUGCUGGACCUUAACUGACACUGGGGGACGAAAGCUAGGGGAGCGAAUGGG